GCAAGUCGAGCGGACCUUUUAAAAGCUUGCUUUUGAAAGGUUAGCGGCGGACGGGUGAGUAACACGUGGGCAACCUGCCCUAUAGUUUGGGAUAACUCCGGGAAACCGGGGCUAAUACCGGAUAAUACAAUUUAGCUCCUGCUAGAUUGUUGAAAGAUGGUUUCGGCUAUCGCUAUAGGAUGGGCCCGCGGCGCAUUAGCUAGUUGGUAGGGUAACGGCCUACCAAGGCGACGAUGCGUAGCCGACCUGAGAGGGUGAUCGGCCACACUGGGACUGAGACACGGCCCAGACUCCUACGGGAGGCAGCAGUAGGGAAUCUUCCACAAUGGACGAAAGUCUGAUGGAGCAACGCCGCGUGAGUGAAGAAGGUUUUCGGAUCGUAAAACUCUGUUGUAAGGGAAGAACAAGUACAGUAGUAACUGGCUGUACCUUGACGGUACCUUAUUAGAAAGCCACGGCUAACUACGUGCCAGCAGCCGCGGUAAUACGUAGGUGGCAAGCGUUGUCCGGAAUUAUUGGGCGUAAAGCGCGCGCAGGCGGUCCUUUAAGUCUGAUGUGAAAGCCCUCGGCUCAACCGAGGAGGGUCAUUGGAAACUGGAGGACUUGAGUGCAGAAGAGGAAAGUGGAAUUCCAAGUGUAGCGGUGAAAUGCGUA
rnacentral:rRNA from 1 species